rnacentral:lncRNA from 1 species
UUCUGACGUCAUGCUGAUGCAGAUCUGCCCGGCUUGAUGCGAGCAGAGGAGAGGAAGAGAGUGAUGCCGUAAAAAUGAAACUCCUCAGCACUAAUUUGUCACAUCCCACCACAGGAGAAGAUGGAGUCGACCCCUACGUUACCCUACCCACAGGAGAGCUGAAAAAAUCAUAUUUGUAUCUGUAGCUGCGUGUCAGAGCUACAGAAACUGCGCUAAACGCGACACAUCACUUUUGUAGAAAAGCGACAAUAUUGAGGUCAGAGGAAAGCGUUGCCAGGGCGACCAGCUUGCUAGGGAGGACACUGCGGCGCGCGCCGGGAACGAGCGAGCGUGCGUGCAUGCCUGCGAGGUUGCGCACGUGCGCGCGUGUGCGAGAUCUCGCUGAGACGGUCACGGUAUCCACACAGCGGCAGCGGCAGCAGAGGCAGCAUCCUUCCUCAAGACUACCCGGACAACCGAGAAAGUCUGUGUCCGCCGUGAAAGAGACGAGCCAACAGAGGCUUGAACCAUUGGCUGUAGUGUUGGAGUUUGCCUUGAGAGGAUUUAUUGAGGAUUUAUCGACGAGGUUCAAGAAAAAUGCUCAAAAACUGAGUGGCUGCCACCGUCGGUGAACACAGAUGACACUUCCCGGCUGUCAAAAUCACCGAGACCCUGCAGACACGUCCGGGUUAUCGGGGGUCAUUUUUCCGUUUUUGAGGCGUCGUUAAAAAGACACUCUUCCUGAGGCAGACUCGACUGUCAGCUGAGACAUUUCUGAAUUUUUAUCACCGUCCUGGAGAAUACGGAGACUGAGCAGAGCCGAGCCUGUUUGGACAGGGAAUCGUGCUGUAUCCUGCUGUAUUCGGUGUGUGAUGCAGUAGUGCAGCGUUUAUUUUUGCUCUUCACUCCACUGUCAUUGUCUCCAGUCAUGAAGUCCCACCUGCCGGCCCGGCUGGAUUGAACGAGGCUCUGUUUACCGUGGGUCACUUUUUUUUUUUUAAAUUUCUGUUUUAUUCUUUUUUAGUAAGAGGGACUUUUUGCUUGCUUGCCAUUUACCGCCGCUGAAGGAAGCUUUAGUGUUGAAGACGAGGAAGAGGAGGACGAAAUCUGUCUGAAAAAAAUUGGUGGGAAUCUGGCAUUCAACCAGCACCCGUGGAUCACAAUUAACAGGUAGGAUCGGCUUCAAUAGAUAUUUCUUGCAUCUACUAGGGAUAUCAUACUCACCGGAAAAUCCAGGGUUUCAUUAUGUAAUGUGUUGCCACAGUAUUUCUAAAUCUGUCAGGGAUUCUUGAGAGUCGGGACAAAACACUUCCUAAAAAACUUUUUUUGAGAAUGCACACUAUAUUGAUUAGAGUUAUUUAUUACUGUAGAGAAAGGUCUUAGCUAUUUAACCCCGUAAAGGAACAGGCUCUAAAUAAAAACUUUUUUUCUAUAAAUUAACAUGUUUCCCUUAGACAGUGGAUUUGUGUCAACUCCAUCAGACACACAAAAAAGAAUAUAAUUUUAAUAAUUCUAGUCCAACAAGAAUCUAAAGUUCUGAUGUAUGUUGUAAUAGUGUUUAGUUACUCUGAUAUGCCAUGAAAUAUAAUAUAUAAACCUAAUGUGUGAUUUCACACUAUUUUGAAAACCAAGAUUUCUAAAUAGUUGCAUUUUCAAACUUUGUUUUUAAUUUUUAUAUUAUAAAAACAAUUUCUGUAAGUAAAUAAGACACAAGAGGAUGUAGAGCCAAUGCUCCUUUAUUACUUAAACAAUAUAAACUGAAGAAACAAAUUUUUUUUUCUCCAAAAUUGAAGAAAAACAUACAUCUGACGGUGUUGACGAACACCUGACGGAGUUGACGAGAAACUGACAGAGUUGAUGACAUCGCAUAUGUUAUUGAACAAAUGUGUUUUUAAACCGAUUGACAAUAGGUCAAUAGGUGAAAAUAGAUUAAGAACUAAUAACUCCUUGUUUUCAUACUGAACAUACCAUUAAUGCAAUUAACCACCGCGCCGACAAGGCGUUUCCAAGCACAUUUUCGUAUUUUGGUGAGUUGUGCAGCCCGGCAUAAGUAUCCCCCCUCCCCUAACUCAGCUCCCUCCAGCAGCGUAGGUCAUAGGGAGGGAGGAGAGAGGGCGUUGAGUGGGUUUAACACAGCCAAGACCUGUAUUGACCAAUAACAUCAGCUCUUCUCGCCUUUGAAUCCGCCACUAGCGAGGCGUAUUACCAUUUUCGUGAAGUAGUCAAAGAGAUCAAGAGAUGUCUGAAGACAGCAAUGCCACACGAUGGCGACAGAAGGCAGCUCCUCAACAGAUGUCACUGUAAGCGCUGCAUUGGGCGUCCUCCGCACUGUCUCAUAUAAGCACAGAUGGAUUUGGUGUGUGUAAUGUUGGACCCACUGGUAAGACAAACACCCUUUUCCACAAAUAAAGACAAUCACAUUAAAUUGCAUAUAUUUAAACCUGACGUGACAAAGGUGGGUUGUGCGCAAAGGUCACAACAUAAAUUCCAAUAAUGGCAUUACAAUCGGAACCAAUCUGUGUGUAAAUCGCGCUCCGUGGCCUGGCUCUUUCUUUCAUAGAUGUUGGCAUAUAAAAUAAAUUUGGCUCACAAAACUGAUUAUUAUAAUAUUUGUAUGUAGGCUUAAAGUAAAAAACUCAUCUGAUCACUGGAACAAAUCAUCUGUUCAGCUGCCGCAGCAGCAGCAGGACGGGUAGAGGACACGGAGACAUGUCCAGGUUGAGCUGCGCGAGAAAUAAGAGGACGAGGAAGCUAGAAAUGGGGGCAGACAAAUUAAAUAUCUUGUUAACUUCAUCAUGUGUGUUUAUUUACAAGAUAUUUGAUUCAAUUUCAUGCGGAUUCAGCAGCUGUGUUAAUUUGGUCAGGUUGAGUGUCCAAACGCAUGCCAAAUGCGCUCAUCAGAUCAGAUAUAGAUCAGAAUAUAUCGAUAUAGAUCUAAAUGUAUGUGCUGACACAGAUUAUUAGUUGUUAUUGAUUAUUAAUUGCACGGAAAUGUUCCUUACACUGUGGAAACCUGCUGGUGAGGUCGAUAUGCCGCCGGUCUCCCAAAAUACCACUAGCCCAUCCGGAUCCACCUGCGCUGAAAGCUGACCAGGUUUGAAUCUGCGAGCUUUCAGCGCACUUUACACACCGGCAACAAGUACGAAAAUGUCACUGCACCAGCUGAUUCUGUGGACACCUCACCCUGCCACACAUCCACGCCCAGCUUGGCGGACCUCGGUGCCCCUCAGUCCACGAAAAUACCAAACUGGCUGUACGCUGAGCUCCGCCAGACGAAAAUGCCACUGCGCGGGGUUCGCCACCCUCCGCCAUGUCGCCGGUGGACACAAAAAUAGAGCCCAAGGUCUGAGGGUCCAAGUUAACAAUGUAAAAAUAAUAACCUUUUUCUUCUAUCUGGUAUCCCACCUACACUGGGGUUUAAAAGAGCAACAUAGAACUUCUUGCGCACUCUAUAAGAAGCCAGUGUGUAGAUUUUAGGUAGUGAAAAUUACAUACUGCACCUUUAGGAUUGUACAUUAAUCAAUCAAUCAAUGAGAUUAGGUGUGUGUGUGUGUGUGUGUGUGUGUGUGUGUGUGUGUGUGUGUGUGUGUGUGUGUGUGUGUUGGGAAAGUUUGACAGUUAUAAUUAAGCAGACAGCCUGCCCAUGGUCUACUCUACAAAACAGAGGUAUAUGGUAAAAUAACGUAAUAUAUGCUAUAUAUGUACUUUUAUGUGCAGAUAAGACCCUGGAAUAACAUUGUUAUCCUUAACCAUGUUCAAAAAUAGCAUAAUGUCAGCACAUUAAGAGGUUAUAGGUGGAUUUGUCAACUCCAUCAGCUUACAUGUCAACUCCGUCAGACACAAAAUCUGACGGAGUUGACGUCUGACGGAGUUGACGUAAGGGCAUGUAUUUUCCCUCCAAAACAUUUAUUGUACAGUGCAGCUAGCUACUUUUUUGGCAGUUGCUAGCUGUCCUGAUAAUCUCACUAAAAUACUUUAAUUGAACUCACUAUGGUUUAAAAAAAAGUAUAAUAAUGGAGAGACGGUGUUGACAUGGUCCAGCUGUGACCAUACAAAUAUUGACAUUGUUUGUCUAAAAUAUCAAAAACUGUAAAACCUACCAGACCAUGUGUGGUGGUGUUGCAUUCACCAGAAGCAGGAAAUGAAAAGGGGUGCUCAGGGAUAUAGCUGACCAUGAUAUUGCAUGAUUUAAUGAGGUUUAUAGAAUAAUCUGAUGGAGUUGACAGAAAGUGAGGACACAACUUUGAUAGGCAGAUUUUUAGGCAAAAAGCUAUUUGAUGUUCAGGCCAUUCAUUGUUUAUAUAUUUAUAGCCCUGAAUUUUUAUUUGAUGUAUAUGUUUUCACAAUUAUAGAGUUUUUUAAAGUUUUUUGGGGCUGGUCAAUAUUGUGACCUCUUGCUGAGGACACAAGCAAUAACAUGGACCUUCUAACCACAGACGUUUCAUUUAAACAAAUAUCCCCCAAAAAAGUAAAUAUCUGUGCUAAAAAAUAGGAUUGGUAUACACAAAUCCAUUAGAUUUAACUUUUUGAGUAUGUCAAACAUUUAGAAUUUCUUAAUUGUUUUGAAUAAAUUAGACUUUUCUAUGUAGGACAUGUUUUGUCCCGACUCUCAAGAAUGGGUG